UACAGAGGGGGCAAGCGUUAUUCGGAAUUAUUGGGCGUAAAGGGCGCGUAGGCGGCCUGGCAAGUGGAAGGUGAAAUCCCUCGGCUUAACCGAGGAACUGCCUUCCAAACUGCUUGGCUUGAGUCCGGGAGAGGUGAGUGGAAUUCCCAGUGUAGCGGUGAAAUGCGUAGAUAUUGGGAGGGACGCCAGUGGCGAGGGCGGCUCACUGGACCGGAACUGACGCUGAUGCGCGAAAGCGUGGGGAGCAAACGGG
rnacentral:rRNA from 1 species